CCUACGGGAGGCAGCAGUGGGGAAUAUUGCACAAUGGGGGAAACCCUGAUGCAGCGACGCCGCGUGAGUGAAGAAGUAUUUCGGUAUGUAAAGCUCUAUCAGCAGGGAAGAAAAUGACGGUACCUGAUUAAGAAGCCCCGGCUAACUACGUGCCAGCAGCCGCGGUAAUACGUAGGGGGCAAGCGUUAUCCGGAUUUACUGGGUGUAAGGGGAGCGUAGACGGCAGCACAAGUCUGGAGUGAAAUGCCGGGGCUUAACCCCGGAACUGCUUUGGAAACUGUGCAGCUAGAGUGCAGGAGAGGUAAGUGGAAUGCCUAGUGUAGCGGUGAAAUGCGUAGAUAUUAGGAGGAACACCAGUGGCGAAGGCGGCUUACUGGACUGUAACUGACGUUGAGGCUCGAAAGCGUGGGGAGCAAACAGGAUUAGAUACCCGAGUAGUC
rnacentral:rRNA from 1 species